rnacentral:rRNA from 1 species
UACGGAGGGAGCUAGCGUUGUUCGGAAUUACUGGGCGUAAAGCGUACGUAGGCGGUUAUUCAAGUCAGAGGUGAAAGCCCGGGGCUCAACCCCGGAACUGCCUUUGAAACUAGGUAGCUAGAAUCUUGGAGAGGUCAGUGGAAUUCCGAGUGUAGAGGUGAAAUUCGUAGAUAUUGGGAAGAACACCAGUGGCGAAGGCGGCUAACUGGUCCGGUACUGACGCUGAGGUGCGAAAGCGUGGGGAGCAAACAGG